rnacentral:rRNA from 1 species
AUACGAAGGGGGCAAGCGUUGUUCGGAAUAACUGGGCGUAAAGCGCACGUAGGCGGAAUGUUAAGUUAGAGGUGAAAUCCCAGGGCUCAACCCUGGAACUGCCUUUAAUACUGGCAAUCUAGAGACCGAGAGAGGUGAGUGGAAUUCCGAGUGUAGAGGUGAAAUUCGUAGAUAUUCGGAGGAACACCAGUGGCGAAGGCGGCUCACUGGCCCGAUACUGACGCUGAGGCGCGAAAGCGUGGGGAGCAAACAGGAUUAGAUACCCUAGUAGUCC